UACGAAGGGUGCAAGCGUUGUUCGGAUUUAUUGGGCGUAAAGCGAGCGCAGGCGGGUGAGUGUGUCAGGGGUGAAAUCUCGGAGCUCAACUCCGAACGUGCGCCUGAAACUGCUUAUCUAGAAUGCUGGAGGGGGAAGGGGAAUUUCACGUGUAGGGGUAAAAUCCGUAGAGAUGUGAAGGAACACCGGAGGCGAAGGCGCCUUCCUGGCCAGAUAUUGACGCUGAGGCUCGAAAGCGUGGGGAGCAAACAGG
rnacentral:rRNA from 1 species